CCAAAACAAGGACAAGUUGCGCUCUCAUGGAGGUGCUGCAUGGAGGAACUAUGUGGUGGCGAUGUAAGGAUGCAUGCAUGUAGUUAGUGAGUGGACACCAUCCUUAUAGGUGAUGAAUGUGAAAAUGGUGGAAUAGGCAAAAUGGGAGAGAACAACACAAAAAAAAAAAAAAAAAAAAAAAAAAAAAAAAAAAAAAAGGAAAAG
rnacentral:lncRNA from 1 species